GGCUCCACAAAUAUGAGAGAAACUUUCUACCCCUGAGCCACACCUGUAAGCCUGAUUUAUUUUGGGAAGGGUUAAGGUUGUUUAGGAAGGUCCCGAAGAUUCACUUCUGUAGUAAGAGAAAACCAGAAGCUACUGCGGACUUGCUCGGUGAUGCUGGUUUUGAGAGCGCACCCCCAAUGAUGGAACUUUCUUCCCACAUGGGUCUACCUCUUCAGGGUCCACUAUCUUCCAACACCACCACAGGUUGACGAGAAAGCCUUAAGCACAAGAAGCUUUGGAAGACGUUUGAGAUCCAAACUGCAACAAGCUUAGAAGAUGGACCGACAAUAAGUGAUACAGACUCGGGAAGACAGCAUCUGCCCUGAAGACCAUACAAAUGAAAUCUGGUUAUUGGCCAU